CACUGAUGUCUGUGGAUCAGUCUUUAACUAGAAACACCCCAAGUACCCUUCAGAAUCCACUUUCUCCUUCUCUUCCCUUCCUGUCUCUGAUCUCUAGGAAUGUGACCUGUAGCUCUUUUUCUCAUUUGAUGCACAGCCUUUGGAUAUUUUUACCUGUUGUUUUUAACUGAAUUGUGAACCUCUUUCCCCACUCAGAUGUCCAAGCCUUAACUCCAGCAUUACAGGACUUGACUAUUUGCAGACAAGGCCUUUAGAGAGGUCAUUUGAAAGUUCUGAGAAAACAUCACUCAGUUGCUCCAAAAUACUUUAUUAUAUAGACUGGCAUUGUCCUACAGAAAACGUGAACCAGUAUGGGAUUUUAAAUUUUCCAGGAGCUUCAGUAAACAGGUGUUCAUUUUGAAGUUUAUAUUCAGCCUGAUGAUAAGGCCUGGGCCACUCCAAUGGGAGGUACUUGUGGCAACAGCACCCAAGUGAAUACCCAGAUCUGGGGAUGCCUCUCCAUGCUGCCCAGUUAGGACCUCCAAGGCCCUCUCCCAACUCAGAACAGAAAGCAGACCUGGCUGGGGAUUUGGAUCUGUGUCCCACGUCUCUUGCAUAAGAAGGACACACAUACAUCAUGGAUGAAGGCGAGCCAGCAGGUCAUCUGUCUUGGGGAAACUGGUUGUCCAUGUGCCCUGGAAAAGAGCUUUUCAGAAGAAUGAUAACGGAGUGUGGUCCUUCCCUCUUCUAUUAUCUCCCAUCCAUUGUCCAAUCUCACAACUGCUUUACCAAGCACCUGGUAUUAUGGUUCCCAAACCUCGAUGAUUAGCAUUUUCUCAACAAUUGAAC
ensembl:lncRNA